CUUUAUUUAUUUUCAAUCGAAAUAUCAUAUUAAUUAAGACUCUUUCUUUUGAGGAAUUGGAGGGUUAAAACCAUAGUAUGAUUAUAUGAAAUGAAAUGGCAAAAGUUGAAAAGAAUGUUUCAUGUCAUCUGACAGAUUUUGAUAAAGAAAUUACAAAGUACUUUGUGAACAAUAUUGCACAAGAAAUCACAAAGUAAUAGCUUACAAUACACAGAUGCCAGCAAAUAAUAGAUACAAUGUCAAUUACAAUUUCUUUUUUGGACUAAGUUUACAAUUUUAAUGUUGUCAUCACACUCUUGUAGAAUCUCUACACCAUGUACGCAAAAAAAAAACUUCUUUUGCACAUAGAUGUGCUUGGUUUUGGUUUUCUGUCUUCUAAUGCAUUUAGUAUAAUCAAAGAUUAGAUCAAGUUACUCCGCUGGUAGUAUAUAAAACAAAUAUUAGAUCAAGAGAUUUCACAUUUCAGGUUCAAACUCCGUUGAUUCUCUCUGAGUGCAACUUUAUUUUAUUUGUCAUUUUUGUGCAGCGUUAUUUGAUAUGCUUUCUUGUUGCAAUCUUCGU
rnacentral:lncRNA from 1 species